AUUGGAUUUUGUACGUGUUAGACCUACGUAGAGGUUGUGCGUAUAUUUUCGACUCUGCGAUAGGUUCCAACCGAGAAAAUAGUGCAUGGGGAAUCUUGUGUUUGGCAUACCAAGUGUACAAGUUUAAUGAUGGGAUUUGUCCGAAUAGAGCGACUAUGCAGGGGUUGAAAGGCUUCCAUGUAAAGUGUGCUCAACAAGUCGGCGCCCGCGAGUGUGGCUAUUACGUUAUGAAGUUCAUGCAUGAAAUAGUCACGUUACACCAUAACACUAAUGAGCGGUUAGACAAUGCUUACACUCCAAGAAAUGCGCCUUAUACCGAUGAGGAAAUAGAUGUGGUUCGUGAGCAAUGGGCUAAGUUUUUUACAACCGAGUAUUUAUUUACUUAGGUUGUUUAGACACAAAGAUGGAAGCGUUUAUAUCUUCAUGGAUUUGGUAAAGUUCUUUAAUUUUUCCAUAAUUACAAGUCUGCUGGAUUUGCUAAUUUAUUGCUUUGAAUACUAAUCUGCUGGUCUUGCUGCUGUUGCAUGUGAAUUCUGAUCUGGUGGUCUUUAG